CCUCUAUCUUGCCCAACCUUAGAAAAUCAAGUAAAUAAAUAAAAGGAACACUUGAGUCAGUUUUUGCUUUGUUCCAUUAGAAAUUCUGAGAAAAGCUAGAUUUCCAUGGGCUUCAGUGGGGAGAGGAGAGCAUAAAGUUUCAUGAAGGGAACCAAGCAGAGUUCCAGCAUGGGGCCUCUGGAGGGAAGGAACUGGUUCUCACUCAACCCUGUUUCCCUCACAGCUUCUAGAACAGGGUCCUAGAUUAGAUAUACUGCGUCCUGAAUGAAUGAAUCAAUCAAUGGGAAUGUAUUCGAGCUGGGCGUGGAAAGACUAAGGAUAAGGACCAUUUCUUUAUUUUCCUAGUGAACAAGAGUGCCUGAUACACAUCUCCCUGAGGUCCAAGAACACCUUCCAAUUCCAGCUCCAUCGUACCUGGAGUCCUCCCACCCCAGCAUUCAGGAUGAAAUAGAGCAACACUCAGCAGACAUUCAUGGCACCCGCUGGACUGCAGCAUGAUGGAAAACCUGAGCACUCAUAUGACAAACAAGACGAGGUCCACUCCAGCCUCGCAGAAGUGAGUGGUAAUAAAGGAAGCUGCAAGAGUAUACGGUAAAUUCCAACCAACAUCAGGGGCCUUGAGGAUGGACAGGACAACUCUCCACUUUGGCAGGAAGGCAAAACAUGACUGGCAAGACCCUUUCAUCUCCAGCAGCCACAGAGCAGCCUGAGAUUGUCCAGAAGCCCAGAAGCUGCUCUGUCCAGGGACCUGCCCCGUCAUCCUCCCAGGCGAAGUGAAGGCCAAAUAGCCCAAGAGACGGCCAUGUAGUCCAGCUGCCGACCUCUUGUUCCAUCUGGCCUGACUGCUGACUCUGAGCAUGUGGUCCAGAACCUCCCAGCCUGCCCCCUGUUGAGUGAAGAGUUUGGGCCUAGUCCCUUCUCUCCAUUGUCCUCACACAGCUUCUAAAUUCCUGCCACGGAGUUGCAGGGGCCAAUCUCAAGCUACUGCUAAGACAGAUGAGACCCUUGCUCCCUUGCCACCUGCAGGGUUCCCGCUGAACCUUGCUGCUUUGUCUCAGAGGAUCCUGGGUCUGCACACGCGCAAACAGCAGCUGGACUUCGGCAGCUUCCAUUAUGAAGGGAGGAGCCACGAAGAGGGAAGGAGGGGGCAGCUUUGGUUCCUACAUUCCAGAAAACAUCAAAAACACAUGCCUGAUGCACAUGACUUCAUCCAUCCUCUCUCCACCCACAGGAGAAGGGUUCCUAACACCAGCCACACUGAACAGAUGAGGGAACUGAGGCACAGACUGCUCACAGGGAGCUUGGAAGGCCCAAGAUUUCCUGCAGGCAAUCUGGCACCGGAGUCUCUGCUCUGAACCAUGCUGCCUGCUGGCAUCAGGUGAGCAUGGCACUCAUUGACUUACUGUUCAAACCUAAGGUGCUUCAGUGUGAAUUCAUUAAUCUCUCCAUUCAUAAAAAAGUCAAAACAAAUGAAUAAAAACAUUUAUCAAGUACCUGAC
rnacentral:lncRNA from 10 species